AGCGGCGUACGGGUGCGGAACACGUGUGCAACCUGCCUUUAUCUGGGGGAUAGCCUUUCGAAAGGAAGAUUAAUACCCCAUAAUAUGUUGAAUGGCAUCAUUCGACAUUGAAAACUCCGGUGGAUAGAAGAUGGGCACGCGCAAGAAUUAGAAUAAGUUGGUGAAGGUAACGGUUCACCAAGUUUUUUUCCCCCCUUAACGAAUCUUUUUUUAGGGGGCCUGAAGAAGGGGGGGGUGAAAAUUUUCCCCCCCCCCCAAAACGGCCUGGGGGGGUUAACUGGAGAACACGGACCAGANUCCUACGGGAGGCAGCAGUGAGGAAUAUUGGGACAAUGGGUGAGAGCCUGAUCCAGCCAUCCCGCGUGAAGGACGAUUGCCCUAUGGGUUGUAAACUUCUUUGGUAUAGGGAUAAACCUACCCUCGUGAGGGUAGCUGAGGGUACUAUACGAAUAAGCACCGGUUAACUCCGUGCCAGCAGCCGCGGUAAUACGGAGGGCGCAAGCGUUAUCCGGAUUUAUGGGGUUUAAAGGGUCCGUAGCGGAUCUGUAAAGUCAGUGGUGAAAUCUCACAGUUUACUGUGAAAUGCCAUUGAUACUGCAG
rnacentral:rRNA from 1 species